UACGAAGGGGGCUAGCGUUGUUCGGAUUUACUGGGCGUAAAGCGCACGUAGGCGGAUCGAUCAGUCAGGGGUGAAAUCCCAGAGCUCAACUCUGGAACUGCCUUUGAUACUGUCGAUCUGGAGUAUGGAAGAGGUGAGUGAAAUUCCGAGUGUAGAGGUGAAAUUCGUAGAUAUUCGGAGGAACACCAGUGGCGAAGGCGGCUCACUGGUCCAUUACUGACGCUGAGGUGCGAAAGCGUGGGGAGCAAACAGG
rnacentral:rRNA from 1 species